rnacentral:rRNA from 1 species
UGAAGGACGUGCUAAUCUGCGAAAAGCGUCGGUAAGGUGAUAUGAACCGUUAUAGCCGGCGAUGUCCGAAUGGGGAAACCCAGUGUGAUUCGUCACACUAUCGUUAACUGAAUACAUAGGUUAACGAGGCGAACCGGGGGAACUGAAACAUCUAAGUACCCCGAGGAAAAGAAAUCAACCGAGAUUCCCCCAGUAGCGGCGAGCGAACGGGGAGCAGCCCAGAGUCUGAAUCAGCUUGUGUGUUAGUGGAACGGUCUGGAAAGUCCGACGGUACAGGGUGAUAGUCCCGUACACCAAAAUGCACAGGCUGUGAACUCGAAGAGUAGGGCGGGACACGUGGUAUCCUGUCUGAAUAUGGGGGGACCAUCCUCCAAGGCUAAAUACUCCUGACUGACCGAUAGUGAACCAGUACCGUGAGGGAAAGGCGAAAAGAACCCCGGCGAGGGGAGUGAAAAAGAACCUGAAACCGUGUACGUACAAGCAGUGGGAGCACCUUCGGGUGUGACUGCGUACCUUUUGUAUAAUGGGUCAGCGACUUAUAUUCUGUAGCAAGGUUAACCGUAUAGGGGAGCCGCAGGGAAACCGAGUCUUAACUGGGCGUUAAGUUGCAGGGUAUAGACCCGAAACCCGGUGAUCUAGCCAUGGGCAGGUUGAAGGUUGGGUAACACUAACUGGAGGACCGAACCGACUAAUGUUGAAAAAUUAGCGGAUGACUUGUGGCUGGGGGUGAAAGGCCAAUCAAACCGGGAGAUAGCUGGUUCUCCCCGAAAGCUAUUUAGGUAGCGCCUCGUGAACUCAUCUUCGGGGGUAGAGCACUGUUUCGGCUAGGGGGUCAUCCCGACUUACCAACCCGAUGCAAACUACGAAUACCGAAGAAUGUUAUCACGGGAGACACACGGCGGGUGCUAACGUCCGUCGUGAAGAGGGAAACAACCCAGACCGCCAGCUAAGGUCCCAAAGUCAUGGUUAAGUGGGAAACGAUGUGGGAAGGCACAGACAGCCAGGAUGUUGGCUUAGAAGCAGCCAUCAUUUAAAGAAAGCGUAAUAGCUCACUGGUCGAGUCGGCCUGCGCGGAAGAUGUAACGGGGCUAAACCAUGCACCGAAGCUGCGGCAGCGACACUAUGUGUUGUUGGGUAGGGGAGCGUUCUGUAAGCCUGCGAAGGUGUGCUGUGAGGCAUGCUGGAGGUAUCAGAAGUGCGAAUGCUGACAUAAGUAACGAUAAAGCGGGUGAAAAGCCCGCUCGCCGGAAGACCAAGGGUUCCUGUCCAACGUUAAUCGGGGCAGGGUGAGUCGACCCCUAAGGCGAGGCCGAAAGGCGUAGUCGAUGGGAAACAGGUUAAUAUUCCUGUACUUGGUGUUACUGCGAAGGGGGGACGGAGAAGGCUAUGUUAGCCGGGCGACGGUUGUCCCGGUUUAAGCAUGUAGGCUGGUUGUCCAGGCAAAUCCGGAUAAUCAAGGCUGAGGUGUGAUGACGAGGCACUACGGUGCUGAAGUAACAAAUGCCCUGCUUCCAGGAAAAGCCUCUAAGCAUCAGGUAACAUCAAAUCGUACCCCAAACCGACACAGGUGGUCAGGUAGAGAAUACCAAGGCGCUUGAGAGAACUCGGGUGAAGGAACUAGGCAAAAUGGUGCCGUAACUUCGGGAGAAGGCACGCUGGUGUGUAGGUGAAGUCCCUGCGGAUGGAGCUGAGACCAGUCGAAGAUACCAGCUGGCUGCAACUGUUUAUUAAAAACACAGCACUGUGCAAACACGAAAGUGGACGUAUACGGUGUGACGCCUGCCCGGUGCCGGAAGGUUAAUUGAUGGGGUUAUCCGUAAGGAGAAGCUCUUGAUCGAAGCCCCGGUAAACGGCGGCCGUAACUAUAACGGUCCUAAGGUAGCGAAAUUCCUUGUCGGGUAAGUUCCGACCUGCACGAAUGGCGUAAUGAUGGCCAGGCUGUCUCCACCCGAGACUCAGUGAAAUUGAACUCGCUGUGAAGAUGCAGUGUACCCGCGGCAAGACGGAAAGACCCCGUGAACCUUUACUAUAGCUUGACACUGAACAUUGAGCCUUGAUGUGUAGGAUAGGUGGGAGGCUUUGAAGCGUGGACGCCAGUCUGCGUGGAGCCAACCUUGAAAUACCACCCUUUAAUGUUUGAUGUUCUAACGUUGGCCCCUUACCGGGGUUGCGGACAGUGUCUGGUGGGUAGUUUGACUGGGGCGGUCUCCUCCCAAAGCGUAACGGAGGAGCACGAAGGUUAGCUAAUCCUGGUCGGACAUCAGGAGGUUAGUGCAAUGGCAUAAGCUAGCUUGACUGCGAGCGUGACGGCGCGAGCAGGUGCGAAAGCAGGUCAUAGUGAUCCGGUGGUUCUGAAUGGAAGGGCCAUCGCUCAACGGAUAAAAGGUACUCCGGGGAUAACAGGCUGAUACCGCCCAAGAGUUCAUAUCGACGGCGGUGUUUGGCACCUCGAUGUCGGCUCAUCACAUCCUGGGGCUGAAGUAGGUCCCAAGGGUAUGGCUGUUCGCCAUUUAAAGUGGUACGCGAGCUGGGUUUAGAACGUCGUGAGACAGUUCGGUCCCUAUCUGCCGUGGGCGCUGGAGAAUUGAGGGGGGCUGCUCCUAGUACGAGAGGACCGGAGUGGACGCAUCACUGGUGUUCGGGUUGUCAUGCCAAUGGCACUGCCCGGUAGCUAAAUGCGGAAGAGAUAAGUGCUGAAAGCAUCUAAGCACGAAACUUGCCCCGAGAUGAGUUCUCCCUGAGACUUUAAGUCUCCUGAAGGAACGUUAAAGACGAUGACGUUGAUAGGCCGGGUGUGUAAGCGCAGCGAUGCGUUGAGCUAACCGGUACUAAUGAACCGUGAGGCUUAACCUU